GCCGCCAUCUUGUGGCGCCGCUUCUUUCAGCGAGGCCGGGUCCGUGCUGGGCCGCUCGCUGCGGAGGGGCUGGGCGGCGUGGGGAGCUCCGCGUUCCCCCGCGCGAUGGGGCUGUCCUUGGCCAGGGCUGGGGGAAGACGGUGUGGCUGCCACCGUGGGUCACUCCCUCCGAUGGAGCUGCCCCUCCAGAAACCGGAAAUGGAAAGAGUCUUCACCUAUUGUGUCCCCUUCCUCCUGCCUGUGAAGAGGAGCUGAACCACACCAGGAGAGGUACAGGUGCCGCAGUGAGCCGGUGAAGGUCGCGGAGGCUGUCCAGCCCAGCACUGCGGAGAGCCUUAAGCUGUCACCAGACUGCUUCCUGCUUCUGCCUCGGAGUCUGAGCCUGGCUGCAGCGGCUAAACAUGCGCGGGAAGGCUUGUGAGCGAGCUGCAAGAGAGCAAGGUGCAGAGCAGCUAGACGUGUUCAGUUACCUUCCACAGGAGUUCAGCACAGGACACCUCACGUGUAUAUCUGCUCCAUUUUGCAACUAAACUUCCCGUCCAAUGUAAAAUCCAGUUCCUGAACAUCAUUCUGGUGCUAGCAGAAGCUGCAGCCGGCCCUGCGAAGCAGUUGAGGGGUGAGCGUGGUGCUGGGGGUGCAGACGUGCGCCCCGCGCUGCCGGAGACCCUGCGCUGCUGCCGGGGUCCAGCCGCUGCCCGGAGCUGGUGGUGACGGUGGGCAGGCUGGUGAGACCCUCCCGGAGGAGAGCUCCGCGCCAGCGCUGUUCAACGUUACAAUUACAGCCAUCAUCGUGCCGAGACUCAGCCACGUUUCGUUUUGCAUCCUCCGACUUAGCUGUGGCCGGGAUCUUUGCAGGGCAAGCGUUUGGCUGCCCGGCUUGCAGAGCAAGAGGCCACUAACAUGGGAAAUGUCCUUAAAAAACUCCCAACCUUGCCUGAAUGGAGGCUGGUGAGCGCUUCUGAGAGGCAGCACGUUCCGGAUCAGGUUAUGCUCUUGAGCAGCAUGUGGCUGAGCCUUGGUGGAGACGCAGCCUUGUCCCAGACGUCCUGCAGCCCAGCCUGGAUGAAAAAUGAAGGAACUGCUGCUGACAGAUGUAAUUUCUGCCAACGUUAAUCCUGCUGUAGCUUCCCGGAGGGUGGAAGCACAAACGAUGUGCGCUCUGCAGAUAAGGUCACCUGGGAAGGACCGUGCAGUGUCCGCAGAGCUGAGUGGCCAAACGGCCCCGACCGCUGCGAUAAGCCUUGUGCUCCUCUCAGCCGCUCUCUGCAGUCCCGUCCCAGCACUCCUGCACCGUCCCACGCACGGGCUGCAGGGACACCAGCAAUGCUAAGCCAGAGGAGCGCUGCUUCCGACAAAAGGCUCGUUCUUGUAAAGGCUGAGUGUGCGUUGUGGUACGGACUCUUUCCUGAGCUGUUCCUCGAUGGGCAGGGAGCCGUCAGCUGCACGGACCUCGGCGUAGCUGUGACUGCGCUGCUCAGUGUUCCUUUGGCACUGGAAGGGCUGGCCGUGUUUGCUCCAGCGGCAGGAUUGACCGCGUUGGCCACGGUGUGAGAGGCAGUCAUCUGCCAUAUUUUGCGUCAGUCCUAACCCACUUCGUGCGAUCAUACGUCUCUAGAAGAUGCAUUUAACCAUUGCAGCCUGGUUCCGUCUCCCUCCAGCCGGUGUCAGAACCCACCUUUGGAUUCCUCUGUGAACGCAGCGCAGCCUCGGGACCAGAGCCUGCCGAGAUCUAAUACUGCACGGUUUCUAGCUUCUUGGUCUCCUUCUAGUGUCUUGUUCCCCAAAGACUGCAAAGGCAAAUUGCCUCUUCGCAGAGGCUGAGACUGCUGCCUCUCAAGGGGUUUGGGUUUAUUUUGGGUUUUUGAGGCAGUCAGCGAGAACAGCUGGUUCUGCACUUAAUUCGGUGGAUGAAAUGAUCUGCUUCAUAAACCUGUGAAUAUUACCCCCUUGCUUAGUCAUCACGGGCUCACACUGUAAGCUGUCAAUGCAGUCGGUACGGGUGGUUCAUCCCCGGCGCCUUUCCUUGAAGAUCUGGCUGAUGACCUGCUAACACUUGCAAUGGGAAUAUGGUUGGAUUUGUGCUUGGUUUUAACUUCAUUUGCAGAGACGGUGAUAAUAAAUUGUGGCUCCCUUCCUACAAAAUGACACAUCGCAGAAAGGAUAGACAGUAACUUGCUUUAAAAUUCAAAACAGCAAUCUUUCCCCAGUCCAACCAAAUGAUUAACUAUCUCAGCUUACAUUGAAUAAUUGCAGGCUUUCCUUCACGCUCCCAUCUUUGUAUUGUUCUAGCGAAUAUCAGCCGAUACAUCUUUACUAUCAUGACGCUUUUUCUUGAUGCACAAUUAGAAUUAUAACACCUUUUUCGUUGUCCUCUGAAAAGCAUUCGAUAUAAUUAAAAAGCCAGACUUCCUUUGAAAUAAUAAAAUCCUGGCUCUUCAUCAUGGCAAGUAAUAGUGUUAGAGAAUGAAUUGGUUUUAAGGCAGAUGAUGCUGGCAGGUUGGGCCGUACAUCAGGCUGUAGAAGUGGGACACAUUCCUUAUUUGUUGUCAGUUUUCCUUUCGUGCCUCAUGCAGAAUUUGUCUUGCAUUUCCAGCACGGGAGAGGGAAACCUUGAUUUAAGAAACCUUCAAUAAAAUGCAAACACUUCAUGGUCUGUUGGUGUAAGGCUGUCACCUUGCUCCUGGAGUUGCUCCGUUGCCUUUGGUAUGAUUUCAAGCAGAGAAAGGGAUUAAUUAUUGGUAAGGGUGACAAAUGCAGCCCGUGUGAUCCUGCACCAGCCCUGUGGAGGCGGCCGGCUCCUGCUGGGAUGCGGGGCUGGGCCGGCAAUAAGUGAAGUCAGCCGGGUCCCAAAGCCCAGCGUUAUUCUGAACCUGUCAGAGCAGAAAGAUAUCGUCAUAGUCCUGUAAAAUGUGACGUUAUACAGGCGUUUCAGCUUCCACUCAAAGAUAAAAUCAAGUUUCUGUUCCUUGCAGUUGUUGAGGGGGGGAAAAAAAGGUGGCUCAGAAUCUGAAAUACAGAUAAAGACGAUAUAACUAAUUAAAAAAGAAUAAAAACGUCUUGUGGUGAUUAAAGCAAUCUUAGAAUUUGUGAGGGCUGGGAGGGAAGCAGCCUUGCGCCUGGUUUUUGGCUGCCUGGGAUUGGCAGUUGGCGUUGGGGCAUGCCUUGGGGACCGUUUUACAGCUCUGUAUGUCAAAGUCCUAGUGAAAUGAGGUUUAGGUCCAAUUUUAAGUCCCGAAAAGUCUUUAUCAUUAACAAGGCAGCAUUUAUUAGGUGGUUCCACACUAAUUGGGAUUUUCAUGUUUCUACCCUGGUUUUACAGGUCUUAAAAAUCUUUCCUUAUUCUUAAAACUGGACUGCGUUAUCACCAUUAAUGUAAAAUACCAUUGAGAAUAUGCAGUAUGCUUCUCCUGGUGACCGAUAGAACAUUUCUUACAAGACACAGACUUAGAAAACACGCAAAUCUCAGUCCAGGCAAGCGCGCGAAACUGUCCUCAAGGUCGCGGUGAAGAGCCCGCUCCUCGUGCAGAGCUGUUGCACGCCCUGAGCACAGCUGAGGCACGCAGCCUUCCAGCGCACGGGGCUCGCCCGUGCUCGCCGCGGGCUUUGGGUGCAGACAAAUAGCUUCUACAAGGAGCUUAAAGCUGUUGGCCUUCAGGACGCGGUGGAAGGCUGGUCCAGGCACUCGUCUGUUGCGUGAGGGCGUUGGGAGAAGCGGGAGGAUAGAUGUUAAUCUGGUUUGUUCUUCCCUGGAGCGCUGCUGUUUGGGUUUCGGGGGGCGGCGUGCACCGUGCCGGAGGUGGGUGUUGCUAUGUUUAGAGUUCGUCCCUGGAAUCCAUUCAGGAUGAUCGGGCGUUCUUACAUCCCUCUUAUCUGGGAAUCAAAACAAAUGAAAAGAGAAUUGAGGCGCCAUUCAGCUGCUGGAUUUUUUUGGGUUUUCUUUUCAUACAAGGAAGCAAAUCCUAUCUUACUGUUCUGGCAUAAUGGAUAUAAAUAACUCACAGUGUAUUUGUGCUUAGAAAUCUGGCCUGCUACCUUUUGUCUGAUACAGAUACUUACAUUUUCUCUUUAUUUUCAAUUACGUGAUAAAGGAGAAGCCGACCUUCGUGUCUGCCUGCCAACAUGCUUUUCAUUCCUGCUAUUUGUUAGAGCUGCAAAGGGAAAGUUUUGGGUGGAGUUGAUGAAAUACAUUUUGCUGCAGUAUUAGCUGGCUGUUAAUUUAACAUUUCUUAUUACAUUAUGCUGCUAAGCAACAUUUUAACGGAUUGUAAGUUUCCUUUUUUGUAUGGGUGCC